UACGUAGGUGGCAAGCGUUGUCCGGAUUUAUUGGGUUUAAAGGGUGCGUAGGCGGCUUUGUAAGUCAGUGGUGAAAUAUGGCAGCUCAACUGUCAGGGUGCCAUUGAUACUGCAGAGCUUGAGUACAGAUGAGGUAGGCGGAAUUGACGGUGUAGCGGUGAAAUGCUUAGAUAUCGUCAAGAACACCGAUAGCGAAGGCAGCUUACUGGGCUGUAACUGACGCUGAGGCACGAAAGCGUGGGGAGCAAACAGG
rnacentral:rRNA from 1 species